UCAGAGGGGAACAACAGUUAGAAAUGACUGCUAAUACCGCAUAUGCCUUGAGUAUCACAUGGUACAAAAGGGAAAGGAGCAAUCCGCUGAUAGAUGGGCUUGCGUCUGAUUAGAUAGUUGGUGAGGUAACGGCCCACCAAGUCGACGAUCAGUAGCCGGACUGAGAGGUUGAACGGCCACAUUGGGACUGAGAUACGGCCCAGACUCCUACGGGAGGCAGCAGUCGGGAAUAUUGCGCAAUGGAGGAAACUCUGACGCAGUGACGCCGCGUGCAGGAAGAAGGUUUUCGGAUUGUAAACUGCUUUAGACAGGGAAGAAACAAGACAGUACCUGUAGAAUAAGCUCCGGCUAACUACGUGCCAGCAGCCGCGGUAAUACGUAGGGAGCAAGCGUUAUCCGGAUUUAUUGGGUGUAAAGGGUGCGUAGACGGGAAAUUAAGUUAGUUGUGAAAUCCCUCGGCUUAACUGAGGAACUGCAACUAAAACUGAUUUUCUUGAGUGCUGGAGAGGAAAGUGGAAUUCCUAGUGUAGCGGUGAAAUGCGUAGAUAUUAGGAGGAACACCAGUGGCGAAGGCGACUUUCUGGACAGUAACUGACGUUGAGGCACGAAAGUGUGGGGAGCAAACAGGAUUAGAUACCCUGGUAGUCCACACCGUAAACGAUGGAUACUAGGUGUAGGGUGUGAUAAACAUUCU
rnacentral:rRNA from 1 species